GGAAUCUUGCACAAUGGGGGAAACCCUGAUGCAGCGACGCCGCGUGAGUGAUGAAGCCCUUCGGGGUGUAAAGCUCUUUCGACGGGAACGCUAAUGAUGGUACCCGGAGAAGAAGCUGCGGCUAACUACGUGCCAGCAGCCGCGGUAAUACGUAGGCAGCAAGCGUUGUUCGGAAUUAUUGGGCGUAAAGAGUAUGUAGGCGGUUGGCUAAGUUUGGUGUGAGAUCUCCUGGCUUAACUGGGAGGGUGCGCUACAUACUGGUCGGCUUGAGUGUGGGAGAGGAGAGUGGAAUGCCUGGUGUAGCGGUGAAAUGCGUAGAUAUCAGGCGGAACGCCGGUGAUGUAGAUGGCUCUCUGGACCACAACUGACGCUGAGAUACGAAAGCGUGGGUAGCAAA
rnacentral:rRNA from 1 species